GGACGGGCAGACGGAGGGCGGACAGACAGACAGACAGACGCGGGGCUGCGCGUGUCUCUGCGGCGGCGGAGGCCGCGUCCCGGCACAGCCGUUUCGGGGUGAGAUCGUCUGCAGCGCGGGACCCGCCCGCCCGCACAGGAGCCGGCCCCAUUAUGGUCCCCGCUGCAUUAAACCCUCCCCACGGCCCCACGACGGCUGCGGCUCCGCGGUCCCCCCAGCACCUGACCGGCAAGGUCAAGAGGAGCCCGAGCCGCCGUCGCCGCUGGAUCUGGCCGGCAGCUGCUGCGCGGCCGUGCGGGGGCAGCUCGCAGGAAUGCGUCCUGCAGAUGGGACCUGGCGGGGCACGUGCAGCGUCCCCGUGCUGGCUGCGUUCUGCCCUCUCUGCUGUGUCCCUUCCCGUUCUGUGCAUCCAUCCCGAGGCUGCAGGUUGAGUGCGUCCCCCGUCCCUUCUCGUUCCCCGUCCCUAGGAUGCAGCGUGGGUGCGUCUCAGGCUGCUCUGCAGCUCUCACGGGGAGAAAGGGAUGCUGACUCCCAGCUUUCCCCUGCAGGGUUGGUUGCAGCCCCUGUCCUCCCUCGCCCCGCGGUGCCCGGCAUCCUCACAGAGAUGGGCAUGGAAUAAAUCAGCCCUUGUUUAUUCUCGUGUCUGGGCUUGGUGUGUGAGUUCAUAUUAAAACAUUCUGCCUUAAAUUACAGCCUAAUAAAUCAAUACCCACUUAGCGAUGCAAGCGAGUGGGAGCGGUUUGUGCAAAGAAUUCAAGUUGCUCUGCAGCUCUCAGGCACAGCGAAGGGCGAGGGAACGAGUGCUGCCCGGGCAGCUGGGCCCUGCUUCCAUCCCUGCCCAGGAGAUGUGUGUGCACGGCAGGGAUGUGCACGGGCAUGGCCAGGAUAUGAGUGCACGGCUGUGCAUGGCCAGGGCAUGCAUCUGUGUGGUUGAGCAUGACUAGGACAUACGUGUGCAUGGCAGGGAUGGGCAUGUGCACGGCUGUGCAUGGCAGAGACGAGCAGAUGCAUGGCUGUGUGUAGCAGGGACACUCAGGGUCACUGUGUGCCUUCAGCUGCCCAUGCACAGGCAUGGUGCGGCCUCACAGCAACUCCCAGCCCCACCAGCUCCUCUCUGCUGUUAAUUUCUGCCCCAGACAGGACAAUGUGGUUCCUCCAUCCAGCUCACAACCUCCUCUGCUGCGCCGUUCCUUCCCUGCUCAGAGUGCUCGGUGAUGCCCUGCACCCAGCAGCAGCUUUCCUUGCACAUCCUCCUCCCCCGCAUCUCACCUUUCCCUUCUGUAAUCCCCUUGUAUUUGCCUGGGCCUCCAUCCAGGGCCAACCACCCCUUUAUAGGGCCACUUCUAAGCAAAUGCUCCCUUUGCUUUGCUAAACAGGGACUCCUCCUUCAUGCAGCCAGGGUUACCGGGACCAGCCCUGUGCCUUUCUCGAGGCUGCGCAUUGCCUCCUGGCACCCUCCAUCCUCCUCCUCUCCUGGGAUGGAUGGGGAAGGACACAUGUGCAGUCCUUUCUGCCGCCGUUGCUGCCCACUCCCACCAGAGCCGCCUGUGGCAAUGCCCAAGGACCCAUCCCCAUCUUCCCCCUUUGCAUCCGAGCCAGUUUCAUCCCUCCCCCCUCAUCUUCCUUGCCAAGCCCUGACACUUGAUGGCAGCCCCAUUCAAAAUGCAUGGACUCCCCUUUCCAAGCGCCCCGGUCCUUUUGAACUAAAAGGAUUUUCUCAGAGGCUAAGUUCAAAUGUAUGGCCGUUAUUUAUUUAUCACCCCGCGAUGUAUUAUUCAUUUAUUUAAAAAUGUAUGGCAGCUGGGAGCCCCGUGUUUAAUCACCCCAUGGAUGGCGAGGGCCAGGUGGAGACGGCCCCUCGCUCCGCCGCUAACCUGGCGCGGUCGCUGCCGCCGGGACUCCGACCUCACGCCUGAUUUAGCAUCAAGGAGGCCAAAAAUAACCCCAACCCCAUGGCAGCGAGAGCGCAGUGGCCUCAUGGGGUGGGCAUGGAGAUGGGGUUGGUGCUUUUGGGGGUGCCAAGAGGAUGUGGCACAUGGUGGGGGAAUGGGGUUGCUGCAGCGCUGCUGCUGCUUGUGGAUGGGGAUGAGGAUGGGGAUGAGAUGGGGAUGGGGAUGUGUUCCACACACGGCCUGGCCCCACGGCUGGCCCCAGCUGUCAGAUUGCAUCCCAGCCCCUCGGCGAAGUCACCAACAUGGUGCUGAUGUGUGCCGAGGCGGGCAGGGCAUGGCGCUGCAUGGCGCUGCGCUGCCAGUGGGAACAGCAGGGAGAAAAAGGGAGAAAAGCACCAUGACACAGCAGGGAUGUGCCCAGCCCUCCCAGCUUCUCCUUGUCCCCACAGGGCUGAAGGACCGCAUCCCCUCGGGAGGAGCACGAAGGGUUAAGGAUGCUCGGUCUCUCCAAACUCCCCACGUCCCCCCCACGCGCUCCCACCACCCUCUUCCUCGCUGGCCACUCACUAAUUGAGACAGCUUCAGCCCUUGCCUCCCUCCUCUCCCCCUGGGGCUGAGCUGCCUCUUCCCAGGGGGAGCACAUUGUCUGCUCCAGCCUGGUUGAUGUAAUCCCUAAGCCCGAACAAUACUUCCCCACCCCGCUCCUGCUGAAAGGGUAUUAGUUGCCCAAUGAGAUAAUUACUCCCCAGGCCACCAUAAUCAUCACGCCCGGCCAGCCGCUUUCCCCGGUCCCAUGGUGCCCAUUCUGUGGGUUCAGGGUGCUCCAUGGCACCGUCGAGACCCCAAAUACCCGCUGAUGCGACAGCAGAAUAGAGCAGGGAAGAGGGAUGUGCUGCUGAGGUGCUGCAUUCAGCUCAUUGAGGGCAGCCCCAUUGCUGCUAUCACCCCAAAAUGUCACCCAUGGGUGGGGGUUGGGGUGCCGGUGGGCACGGGAUGGGGAUCUCUGGACAUGCUGGGACACCGGGGCUGUGCCAGCAGUGCCACUGCGCUCAGCUCCUGAUGGAGCACGGGUGGGGUGAGCCCAUUCCUGGGAUUCAGGAUUUCCCAAUGUCAUAUCCCUGGUUUGGUCCCCUCUGAUGAAUAUUCAGG
ensembl:lncRNA